AUACGGAGGAUCCGAGCGUUAUCCGGAUUUAUUGGGCUUAAAGGGAGCGUAGGUGGAUUGUUAAGUCAGUUGUGAAAGUUUGCGGCUCAACCGUAAAAUUGCAGUUGAAACUGGCAGUCUUGAGUACAGUAGAGGGGGGCGGAAUUCGUGGUGUAGCGGUGAAAUGCUUAGAUAUCAAGAAGAACUCCGAUUGCGAAGGCAGCUCACUAGACUGUUACUGACACUGAUGCUCGAAAGUGUGGGUAUCAAACAUGAUUAGAUACCCUGGUAGUCCACACAGUAAACGAUGAAUACUGUGUGUUUGCGAUAUACAGUAAGCGGCCAAGCGAAAGCAUUAAGUAUUCCACCUGGGGAGUACGCCCGCAAGGGUGAAACUCAAAGGAAUUGACGGGG
rnacentral:rRNA from 1 species